rnacentral:rRNA from 1 species
CAGCAGCCGCGGGAAUACAGAGGGUGCAAGCGUUAAUCGGAAUUACUGGGCGUAAAGCGCGCGUAGGUGGUUUGUUAAGUUGGAUGUGAAAUCCCCGGGCUCAACCUGGGAACUGCAUCCAAAACUGGCAAGCUAGAGUAUGGUAGAGGGUGGUGGAAUUUCCUGUGUAGAGGUGAAAUGCGUAGAUAUAGGAAGGAACACCAGUGGCGAAGGCGACCACCUGGACUGAUACUGACACUGAGGUGCGAAAGCGUGGGGAGCAAACAGGAUUAGAUACCCGCGUAGUCCCUGUCUCUUAUAC